rnacentral:lncRNA from 1 species
GUAGGGCUACGGAUCUCUACAGAUAACCAACUUGAAUUUUUAUCUUGUAUAUCUUGACAAAUGGCUUCGCAGCAACAAGAAGAUCUAAGGUCGAAGGAAGAAGUUAAGGUUAAGGAUUCGGAUCGAGUCACAAGAGCACCAUGAUACCAGUGAUAAGAGUAAAGCAAAAAGUGAAGAUGAGGAGUUGAAGCAACCAACCAGGCGUUCAUAUCUCGGAGUCGGAGUACUGUGAUUUUAAUUAAUGUGUGCAUGUAAUUUGGUUUUCCUAAAAAGAAUAAGCUUUUAGUAAUAAGUUAUCGUAUUCUUCUAUUCAAGUUUUAAUGAAUAAAUUUUCAUAAUCAAAGU